rnacentral:lncRNA from 1 species
CCCCACCCACUUGAGAGGCAAGGGUUCUCUUACUCUGAGAGCGAGGACAACAGGGAAAUAUGUCCCUGUCCCUUUGCAGUGAAAGUGCCAGGGUUUGUUCAUUUUCAUUUCCCCACCCACAGAUCCUGAAGCUCCCAGUACUUGCCCCACCUCCCCUAGCGUAUUCCUGCCCCUAGGUAGCCAUCUAGUGUUGAAAAUGAAAACAUGUUUUUAAAAAAAUUUAAAGAACAUCUUAGCUGCUGCUUGCAGCCCUUGUGACCGGGGGUUUUACUGAAGGAACCAGCUUCCCUUUUGGCAGCCAUAACGGCCGAACACGUGCUUCUAUGACCUUGUCCUAGACACUAGAAAGUCAGAUGCCUGCCUCAUGACAAGGAACCAAUCAGAAGUUAGCUGGUGGCGCUAUGCUUUACGACCCUGGGUGUGCUUUACGGACAAGCGCACAGCAAUGACACAGAGAGCAUAGCAACCACCCUGGGAGGGCCUAUGGGCCAUAACAACCAGUUGACCAAUCAACACAGGGCAAGCCCUCCAAGCCUGGAGGCACACCAAUCGUAAGCCUGGGGUCUUUUCUUGAUGCUCUGAGCACGUGGCGCCACCUCAACUGUGAUCGGCAGAUGCCUGGAGGACAGACUGCUUCUCUGAGGACACCCAGGAGGUACGAACGGAGGCCAAGGACUUGGAUCCUCCUCAGUUGGCGGUGAUUUAGCCACCGCGUUCUGCCGCCCGUCUUCCCGGCGCCAUUGCCUUAUAAGCGGUGCCAGCAGAUUGGGUUGGCGUCUGUUCUUUCCUGUCUAUUCUGUGUUGUCAUCAUUGGUUUUCAAUUCAGGAUCCACCACACCACCCCCUUUCUAUCCCCACCUUCGGGUCUGUGAGGCAUGCCAAGUGGGGCUGUUUCUGCCCCAGCUGCCGUCACGGGUGUUUCCCUGCUCUAAGGGAACAUGGCUGCAAGGCCGCCAUCUGCCUGGCUACCCAUCUUUCUGUGCUCCACACACAUGGUAUGCAGGAGGGCCUCGGGGGUCUUUUUCCCACCCCUGCAUUGGCCGAGGGUCUGGGGUUACCAGCAGCACCCCCACUUCAGGUCUCUCUGCCUUGAGCACAUGGAGCUAGGAUGUAUGAACUUAUCUGGUCUGAUCCGGACUUCUUAAAAAAAAAAAAAAAAGAAAAGAAAAGAAAAAAGAAAAAAGGCCUUAAAGUUAUUAAGAACUGUAAAAGGGACUUUGAUAAAAUUUUUAUGUUGACUAAAAAAUGAAAAAAAAAAUGUAAGAGAGAAAGGAAAAGGGAAAUUUGCCUAAGAAUGUCUAAGAAAGUCAGAGGAAUGAACUAAAAGGUUAUAGAGAGCUAAAGCAAGUCGUAGAAGGUCAGAGAAAAGGUUGUUACAAGUCAGAGAAAAAUAUAAACUGUAAACUGUUAUGGUUUCUCAUGUCUACAAAUAGUAAAUUUUAAAAAUGGUAAUAUAAGUUAAAAUUUUAACCUUAUUAAGCUAAUUCUGUUUUUAAAAGUCCUGUUUAUUUCUCAUAUAAUUUAUGUAUACUUGUUUUAAAAUGUUCUGUUUCCUGGUAGCCAACCACAUGGCAAACUGGUCACAUGGCUGACUGGUAGCCAUUUUGCUAAAGUUAAAAAAGGAUACUUAAACCGCCAUCUUGACUAAAAGUGAC